GACGAACGCUGGCGGCGUGCUUAACACAUGCAAGUCGAACGGAAAGGCCCCUUUGGGGGUACUCGAGUGGCGAACGGGUGAGUAACACGUGAGUAACCUGCCCUUGACUUCGGGAUAACUUCAGGAAACUGGGGCUAAUACCGGAUAGGAAUCCUUGCUGCAUGGUGGGGGUUGGAAAGCUUCGGCGGUUUUGGAUGGACUCGCGGCUUAUCAGCUUGUUGGUGGGGUAGUGGCUUACCAAGGCUUUGACGGGUAGCCGGCCUGAGAGGGCGACCGGCCACAUUGGGACUGAGAUACGGCCCAGACUCCUACGGGAGGCAGCAGUGGGGAAUAUUGCACAAUGGGCGGAAGCCUGAUGCAGCAACGCCGCGUGCGGGAUGACGGCCUUCGGGUUGUAAACCGCUUUCAGCAGGGGCGAAGCUUGUGGUGACGGUACCUGCAGAAGAAACACCGGCGAACUACGU
rnacentral:rRNA from 1 species